ACCAACCUUUUCUUGUUGGUGUGGAUUUUUUAAAUUAAGGAAACUGACUAAAAAAAUGACAUGCUGAAGGAUCAAGAAAAUGAUUCCAAUAAAAGAACUAAAAAGCCAUUUCACCAGUUAAAAGUGUGGAUGAUAUUCAGUGUGUUCAAAAAGUUGAAUAUAUAUAUAUACACAAAAAUGCAUUGAUUAGGAUGCAAAUUUGAUACAGAUUUAAGAAUCAUACAGUGUCAAGAUUCAUCAAUAGUGUGAAACAAUUUAUCAAUAAUAUGGCAACAUGCGACUGAUAUUGGAUUAGAUAUCAACUUAUGAGGAAAUCUCAAGAAAAGAGUUGGACAUAAUACCAAAGAUAUGAAUGGAAUACAAAUGGAAAAGAAUCACCAUGGCCCAUACUAGAUGCAACUUGAAGUUGAACACUUUCGUGCAAUUUAUAAUAACUGCAUGCUUGACUAAUUGGAAUGAUAAGUUUUCAGUCCAUACAUAUAACUUAAUUUAAUUUUGGGAAAUUUUAUCGAAGCUGAAUUUAAAAUUGCAUGUGAAUGUUUAUUUUUGUAUGUAGUCAGUACAUAUUAUAUUGUGGAAUCAUCGUGGUAGUGGGUGACCAAUGUUCAUGGCUUUCGUGAGUAACCCUUGCACACAAAUUUACAUCCCACUGAAUGUAUACACAAGCAAAUAUUUAGUAUUUAUUGAUAAAAUAGAACUUGCUACUGAAGAAAUUACCUCCCCAUGAACUAGGAACAGUUUGGUAACCAACGGACAUUGACCCCCACAAAUAAAAAUGAUUCUACAGUACUACAUGUACAUAGAAAUUAUCAUAAUUAAUUUAGCUUUUAAAAAUGAACAUGUCUGAAAUAUAUUUAUUUGAAAUCAUUUAAAUUUUGUUUAAGAAUGAAUUUGUUACAGAGAAUAAAAGCAUGUAAUCUA
rnacentral:sRNA from 1 species